GACUACACAAUAUUUUUAUUUGGUUUUGUUUUUCAAUUUUAAUAGAUCAAAUCGCAUUCAAAAUAUUCCUCGGGUGAACACUAUGGACCAAUAAACUGUGGAACAGUAAUCGCUCAACUGUCAAUUUGGCCAUUGGGUUGAUUUAAAACGAUAGGUUAAUUUAAUUUUUUUUUCCAUCUCAAAAGUACAAACCAGUGUGUGUAUAACUGUUAUGAAGCCCAUUCCCGAAAUAUCAUGCCAAUGGAAAGUUUAAGAAAAAAAAUGAACAGAGAAAAAAUAGCUACCAAAUGAUGAAAUAUCCAUGCACUAGUGUAAAUGGUAUUUGUUGAGAGGGCACUUGAGCGCUCGUCUCUACAUUUGUAGCCAGUAUUUAUUUGAGCCACUUAGAAAUGAAGCAUUGAUGACACACAGAAACUUGCUGCCGAAUUUUUAAAUAAGAAUUGUUCCUUUCUCAACAUCUGCCCUGAACAGGCGGGCAUUUAAAGAGGAAGCGCUCCCUUGUUCAGUGUCUGAUUUUUCGCAUUUUUCUCUAAUUUUAUUGAAUUUGACAGCAGAUUGUCGACCGGUGCAUUUGUAUGCAGUCUUGACGAGAUUGGGGAUUUUUUGCCCUAAAUCCCUGUAUAACGCGCCGAGGCAAAGCCACUCCCGUGAUAA
rnacentral:sRNA from 1 species